CCUGAAAAGUGGCUUUGUGCGACUAUUAAAACUUAUUUGCGUAUCCCGGCUAGCAACAUCGGCUCAACCAAUGGUGUGCAUUUGGGGCAUGGCUAUCCUUUCUUUUAACCAAUGACAGUGAAUUAUAUUUCUGAAAGCACAAUUGGAUCUGCCUGUUUGAAAAAAGUAACUUUCUUUAUGUUUGGCCCUGGUAGUGUCAUUUUCGCAAACGUUGCUUUAUCCUGUUAUGUCCAUAAAACGCACCAUUUUAUAUUUAUAAAUAUUAUGCUAUUUCUACUUGAUUUGUCCCUUAUAACUACUAGUUUUGGUUUAAACCAGCAAUCAAGGUGAUUCAGUCAUAUUCAACAAUACUUUUAAGUUUUUUUUACAGUGACAAAACAUUUUACAGUUAUAAUAUAUAGGCUAUCAUUGUCCAUCAUUUUUUUUUUUUUUAAAUUACAAUUACAGAGAAAUUCUUAUGGUCAUAUUUAUUUUGAUUUUACAUAACUUUGUCAUUUUAAACUAUGGUUUCCCUUGUAAACUUUUCUAAGAGUAAUAUUACCUGAGUAUUCAUCAUAUUUGAUUUGAUUUCUGGGAGCAGAUUACACAUACAACUCUACAUGCAACACAAUUAUCAUGGAAUAAUGUCAAGCCUUACAAUACACCACUGCGCAGGUGACAAAAGUUUUUAUUUUUUUAUGAAGUUAAGAUAUGAAUUAUUUUCAGUACAGGUUGCGUCAUAUUUCUUUCUCUGUGCGUGCUCUGCUGUGUUUACUUGUACGCCAACUAACGACCCAACAACUGCAAAAAACAAACAGCAGUACGAUGGCCGACUCCCGCGCGCGGCAGGAAUACCUGACAUUCGUUUGUUCCGUCGCCGUCGCUCCGAGCAACAGAGGCCAAUUACUGCAGCAGCCGCAUGACCUUUAGCAUGCAGAUGAGCCGCGCAGCGCACGCGCUUAUGUGUGUGUGGCCGGUAAAUAUUAACGGGAACGGAAGAGUGGAGCCAUAAUGACGCACAGAUCGUUAGAGACUCGUUAGGGAGCACGAGACGGAGGAUAUUAAAGAGCAGUUAAGAGCAAAACGCACAUACACACCUUUCUACAGGACUGGCACACACACACUUCACCAGUCUAACGUACUCCUAUAAUGCCUGCAUAUAGGCUACCUUUGUCUAACUCACACAUAAACACGUGAGAGUAAUGCAAAGAUCUAUCUAACAGACACACAUAUCUGACAUGCAACAACAUAAUUCAUGUGUCUAACACACACACACACCUGCCUUCUAUGGAUAAAAACACUAAAACUGUCUGACACACAAACACAUUCAUCCUACUAGCACAUAUAGACACUUUACCUGUCUAACACGCACCUCACAAUUUACUUAUCUGACAUAAACAAACUUCCCUGUCUAUCACACACGCUUUAUCUGUCUAAGGCGCACAUAUACCCACAAUUCACCUGUCCAACAUGCAUGCAAACACACACACACUGAGCGUCGCAAGUUCUGAGCGCUGCGCUGCCGGGGUCUUUCAGCACGCUGGCAUUAGUAUUCACAGACAGCGCUUCCCUUCAGUGCCUGAAUUAAUUUUCCACCAUGCGUAUGUGUGUGCGUGUAUCACAUCACAGAAAGUGCGAGACCGCGGCAGAGAGAGAGCGAUAGACAGUGUGUGGUGAUCUCCCCGAAUCUCAAGCCUCUUUUCCUGUUAUUUUAUUGCGAUUUAAAUACUUCACUUGUCUAAUGCAUGUAAUCUGACUAAUCAGUGCAGGAAAUUGCCCACAGUCUGUUUCUAAAGAGGAAACCGUUCUGUUUCGAACCUGCCACAGAGAGAGACAGGCUUCCGACGGAAAGCAGCGUGCACGAAGAACGAAGAUUGAGCGUGUGUGCGCGUGACCGAAGUUGAAUAUCUUUGAUAUAAUGAGCACUGCUAUGCAAGAACUAGUCACUGGAGGCACCAAAGUUUGCGAGACAGCAUUUGAUUGGACAAAAAUCGGAGUAGUGCAGGAUGAUGUCAUCGAGAUAUUUGCUCUUUUUUCUCUGUUUGGGAAAAUUGUUUGAAAACUCAUUAUUAUUUGUGGCAUGGAAAAUUACAGGUUUUCACUUUGUCUCUCCCUCUACAUUGCUCUCAUUUCAUUCUUGCGGAAGCUCUCAGAAGCUUUUGCAUUCUGCCAUUUUUCUCUUUCUCAUUCUCGUGCGAACCCCGUCUUCCUCUCCUAAUCGGUACGCUCUUUAUUUUCUAACUCUCACUCUCAUUUCACUCUCUCUCUCUAACUCAAAUUACACCCAUUACAGCCCACUCUAGCUCUCCAGCACUGCUCUCCCUCCCUCUCCACACCUCACUGCAGCAAACACACACACACUCACGCACACACAUUCCGUGCAGCUUUUCAAGAAAGGCAUCUAUUUGUCAGCGUCUCUGCAAAGCUGAGACUGCAGGAGGCCUCCGUUUAUAAAACGCACAGCUAUCUGUUAUACGGCAUAUGUGUGUGUGUGACAUAAAAGAAAAACAACAGAGAAACACCAAGAGUGUAAAUAUCACCAAACGUGUGGAGACCAUGUCCGACUCUGACCGCAAAUUUAAAAAUAAGAAAUUAGAAAUUUGUUGAAAGAUAAUGAAGCCUGUUUUAGGACCAUUAAGAUUGAUGGUAUCUAUUACCAUUUUUGCUACAUUUAUGAUGGUAUUACCAUGUUUGUUAGACAUUUACCAUGGUAUUACCAUAUUUACAAUGACCUUUAUCAUGCUAUUACUGUCUUUGGGGGACAUUUACAGUGGCAUUACCAUUUUCAUUAUCUUAUGUGAAAAUGAUUUAUAUUUUCAUUACUGAAUGCAUCUGGAG
ensembl:lncRNA